GCUACGAGCUACACAUGCAGUCGAGCGGAACGAGUUAUCUGAACCUUCGGGGAACGAUAACGGCGUCGAGCGGCGGACGGGUGAGUAAUGCCUAGGAAAUUGCCCUGAUGUGGGGGAUAACCAUUGGAAACGAUGGCUAAUACCGCAUAAUGCCUACGGGCCAAAGAGGGGGACCUUCGGGCCUCUCGCGUCAGGAUAUGCCUAGGUGGGAUUAGCUAGUUGGUGAGGUAAGGGCUCACCAAGGCGACGAUCCCUAGCUGGUCUGAGAGGAUGAUCAGCCACACUGGAACUGAGACACGGUCCAGACUCCUACGGGAGGCAGCAGUGGGGAAUAUUGCACAAUGGGCGCAAGCCUGAUGCAGCCAUGCCGCGUGUGUGAAGAAGGCCUUCGGGUUGUAAAGCACUUUCAGUCGUGAGGAAGGUAGUGUAGUUAAUAGCUGCAUUAUUUGACGUUAGCGACAGAAGAAGCACCGGCUAACUCCGUGCCAGCAGCCGCGGUAAUACGGAGGGUGCGAGCGUUAAUCGGAAUUACUGGGCGUAAAGCGCAUGCAGGUGGUUUGUUAAGUCAGAUGUGAAAGCCCGGGGCUCAACCUCGGAAUUGCAUUUGAAACUGGCAGACUAGAGUACUGUAGAGGGGGGUAGAAUUUCAGGUGUAGCGGUGAAAUGCGUAGAGAUCUGAAGGAAUACCGGUGGCGAAGGCGGCCCCCUGGACAGAUACUGACACUCAGAUGCGAAAGCGUGGGGAGCAAACAGGAUUAGAUACCCUGGUAGUCCACGCCGUAAACGAUGUCUACUUGGAGGUUGUGGCCUUGAGCCGUGGCUUUCGGAGCUAACGCGUUAAGUAGACCGCCUGGGGAGUACGGUCGCAAGAUUAAAACUCAAAUGAAUUGACGGGGGCCCGCACAAGCGGUGGAGCAUGUGGUUUAAUUCGAUGCAACGCGAAGAACCUUACCUACUCUUGACAUCCAGAGAACUUUCAGAGAUGGAUUGGUGCCUUCUGGAACUCUGAG
rnacentral:rRNA from 1 species